GGCCGCGGAGGACACGGGGACGGGAAAGUCUGAGAGACGGGGAGAGCCUGACCCGGCGGGACACAGGCAGAAAGAAACACGCGAGCCAGACAGACGCAGAAGAAACGUGCCUGGUACUGGAUAGGAACUUCAUGGAAUGGAGCUAAUGGGCCGUAGGGCAGGUUUGAGUCGUGCCACCCUGGAGCAGAAGGUGGAGGGUAGGGAUAAGAACUUCCGAGAAGUCACCACCAAUCAAGAGCUGAUUCACAAGAGCAGAGGGACUCAGUAAAGUUCCAGAACUGGCCUGAUAGCAGCCACUACAUGAUUAAGAAAAAAACAAGCAGCUUUGUUGUAAAAAAGAUCGGCUUCAUGGUUUUUAUAAUCAUGAAUUUCUCCUCCAUGUUCCAAUUGUCACCUGAUUUUUAAUCCAAGAAUAUCAAACUUGAUGUACCCCUUUGUUUAACUGAAGGUUGCUUUCUCACUUGGUAUCCCUUUCUUUCAAAAUUUAACUUUCAGGAAAUAAAGGUAACCAGUUUGCUAUGAA
rnacentral:antisense_RNA from 1 species